UACAGAGGGUGCGAGCGUUGUUCGGAAUUACUGGGCGUAAAGCGCGUGUAGGCGGGUCUUUAAGUCAGGGGUGAAAUGCCAAGGCUCAACCUUGGAACUGCCUUUGAUACUGGAGACCUUGAGUCCGGGAGAGGUGAGUGGAAUUGCGAGUGUAGAGGUGAAAUUCGUAGAUAUUCGCAAGAACACCAGUGGCGAAGGCGGCUCACUGGCCCGGAACUGACGCUGAGAUGCGAAAGCGUGGGGAGCAAACAGG
rnacentral:rRNA from 1 species